rnacentral:lncRNA from 1 species
GGGAUUUUAAGGAGAUUUUUGGGGUAAAACUUUGGAAUUUUAAGAACCUUUUUUGGUGUAAAACCUCAGGAUUUUCCAUCAGAAUUUUCUGGGGAUUUUUUACCCUUCCCCCCCUCAUUUUUUGGGUUGAAACCCCCCAAUUUUGGGGAUUUAUUCCUCUUAAAUCUCUUUAUUUUUAUCUCCCAGCUUCUGUUUUUCGGAGAUGGCCCCGGUGUGCGCCGUGGUCGGGGGGGUGCUGGGCCAGGAGGUGGUCAAGGUAAGAUUUUGGGGGGAUUUUGGGGGGUUUUGGGGGGUUUUGGGGAUUUUGGGGGUCCCCAAAUCCCCCCUGGUGACCCCCCCGUGUCCCCUCCAGGCUCUGUCCCAGCGGGACCCCCCCCACAACAAUUUCUUCUUCUUCGACGGCAUCAGGGGCCAGGGGAUGGUGGAGUGCCUGGGACCCCCCCUCUGAGGGACCCCCCAAUUUGGGGAGGGGGUUUGGGGGCUCCUGGACCCCUUUCUGUGGGACCCCUGAAUUUGGGGAGGGGGCUUGGGGGGUCCUGAACCCCUCGGGGUGAAGAUUUGGGGGUCCUGAACUCCUUGGGGAGGGGGUUUGGGGGGUCCUGGACUCCUCUCUGAGGGACCCCCCAAUUUGGGGAGGGGGUUUGGGGGUUCUGGACCCCUCGGGGUGAAGA